UACGUAGGGUGCAAGCGUUAAUCGGAAUUACUGGGCGUAAAGCGUGCGCAGGCGGUUAUGUAAGACAGGUGUGAAAUCCCCGGGCUUAACCUGGGAACUGCAUUUGUGACUGCAUAGCUAGAGUACGGUAGAGGGGGAUGGAAUUCCGCGUGUAGCAGUGAAAUGCGUAGAUAUGCGGAGGAACACCGAUGGCGAAGGCAAUCCCCUGGACCUGUACUGACGCUCAUGCACGAAAGCGUGGGGAGCAAACGAGGAU
rnacentral:rRNA from 1 species